rnacentral:rRNA from 1 species
GAUCCUGGGCUCAGGAUGAACGCUAGCUACAGGCUUAACACAUGCAAGUCGAGGGGAAACGACAUCGAAAGCUUGCUUUUGAUGGGCGUCGACCGGCGCACGGGUGAGUAACGCGUAUCCAACCUGCCCACCACUUGGGGAUAACCUUGCGAAAGUAAGACUAAUACCCAAUGAUAUCCUCUAGAAGACAUCUAGGAAAGGGUAAUUAAAGUAUUUAGUCGGUGAGUGGAGUGGGAUGCGUCUGUAUUAGU